CAGCAGCCGCGGUAAUACGUAGGGUGCAAGCGUUAAUCGGAAUUACCGGGCGUAAAGCGUGCGCAGGCGGUUUGUUAAGACAGAUGUGAAAUCCCCGGGCUCAACCUGGGAACUGCAUUUGUGACUGGCAAGCUAGAGUAUGGCAGAGGGGGGUGGAAUUCCGCGUGUAGCAGUGAAAUGCGUAGAUAUGCGGAGGAACACCGAUGGCGAAGGCAGCCCCCUGGGCCAAUACUGACGCUCAUGCACGAAAGCGUGGGGAGCAAACAGGAUUAGAUACCCGCGUAGUCCCUGUCUCUUAUAC
rnacentral:rRNA from 1 species